GACGAACCGUGCGAACGUUGUUCGGAAUCACUGGGCUUAAAGGGCGCGUAGGCGGACCAGCAAGUCCGGGGUGAAAUCUUUCGGCUUAACCGGAAAAGUGCCUUGGAUACUGCUGGCCUUGAGGGAGGUAGGGGCAUGUGGAACUUCCGGUGGAGCGGUGAAAUGCGUUGAUAUCGGAAGGAACGCCGGUGGCGAAAGCGACGUGCUGGCCCUCUUCUGACGCUGAGGCGCGAAAGCCAGGGGAGCGAACGGG
rnacentral:rRNA from 1 species